UGGGGAAUAUUGCACAAUGGGCGCAAGCCUGAUGCAGCCAUGCCGCGUGUGUGAAGAAGGCCUUCGGGUUGUAAAGCACUUUCAGCGAGGAGGAAGGUGGUGGACUUAAUACGUUCAUCAAUUGACGUUACUCGCAGAAGAAGCACCGGCUAACUCCGUGCCAGCAGCCGCGGUAAUACGGAGGGUGCAAGCGUUAAUCGGAAUUACUGGGCGUAAAGCGCACGCAGGCGGUUUGUUAAGUCAGAUGUGAAAUCCCCGGGCUCAACCUGGGAACUGCAUUUGAAAACUGGCAAGCUAGAGUCUCGUAGAGGGGGGUAGAAUUCCAGGUGUAGCGGUGAAAUGCGUAGAGAUCUGGAGGAAUACCGGUGGCGAAGGCGGCCCCCUGGACGAAGACUGACGCUCAGGUGCGAAAAGCGUGGGGAGCAAAACAGGAUUAGAUACCCUGGUAGUCCACGCUGUAAAACGAUGUCGAUUUUGGAGGUUGUGCCCUUGAGGCGUGGCUUCCGGAG
rnacentral:rRNA from 1 species